rnacentral:rRNA from 1 species
GAUCAUGGCUCAGGACGAACGCUGGCGGCGUGCCUAACACAUGCAAGUCGAGCGGAGACAGUGAGUAGCUUGCUAUGAGCUGUUUUAGCGGCGGACGGGUGAGUAACGCGUGAGCAACCUUUCCCAGACAGGGGGAAUAACACACCGAAAGGUGUACUAAUACCGCAUAAGACCACGGAAUCACAUGGUUCUGGGGUAAAAGAAUUAUCGGUUUGGGUGGGCUCGCGUCCGGAUUAGGUAGUUGGUGAGGUAACCGG